GACGAACGCUGGCGGCGUGCUUAACACAUGCAAGUCGAACGGCAAGGCCCUGCUUGCAGGGUCCUAGAGUGGCGAACGGGUGAGUAACACGUGGGUGAUUUGCACUGCACUUCUGGAUAAGCCUGGGAAACUGGGUCUAAUCCCGGAUAGGAGACAUUUUUAGCGUGAUGGUUGGAAAGUUUUUUCGGUGUUGGAUGAGCUCGCGGCCUAUCAGCUUGUUGGUGGGGUGAUGGCCUACCGAUCCGACGACGCGUAGACGGCCUGUGGGGGUGAACGGCGGCAUAGGGACUUAGAGACGGCCCAGACGCCUACGGGAGGCAGCAGGGGGGAAGAUUGCACAAGCGGCGCAGGGCGGAUGAAGCGAGGCCGCGUGUGGUAUAACGGUCUUCGUGUUGUAAACUCCCUGCGCGAGAGACCAAGCUUUUUGUGACGGUACCUAGAGAAGAAGCACCGGCUAACUACGUG
rnacentral:rRNA from 1 species